CCCCAGACUCCUACGGGAGGCAGCAGUGGGGAAUAUUGCACAAUGGGGGAAACCCUGAUGCAGCGACGCCGCGUGAGUGAAGAAGUAUUUCGGUAUGUAAAGCUCUAUCAGCAGGGAAGAUAAUGACGGUACCUGAGUAAGAAGCCCCGGCUAACUACGUGCCAGCAGCCGCGGUAAUACGUAGGGGGCAAGCGUUAUCCGGAUUUACUGGGUGUAAAGGGAGCGUAGACGGCAUGGCAAGUCUGAAGUGAAAGCCCGGGGCUCAACCGCGGGACUGCUUUGGAAACUGUUAAGCUGGAGUGCAGGAGAGGGAAGUGGAAUUCCUAGUGUAGCGGUGAAAUGCGUAGAUAUUAGGAGGAACACCAGGGGGGAAGGCGGCUUACUGGACUGUAACUGAAGUUGAGGCUCGAAAGCGUGGGGAGCAAACAGGAUUAGAUACCCGGGUAAC
rnacentral:rRNA from 1 species